rnacentral:rRNA from 1 species
CAAUAGCGUAUAUUAAAGUUGUUGCAGUUAAAAAGCUCGUAGUUGAAUUUCUGGUCAUUUUUAGUGUCGGCUUCGGUCGCGCUAAGGUUGGCCAUCCGUUUGCAAGCUAUUCUCGGCCUUCACUGGUUCGGAGUAGUGAGCUGACAUUUUACUUUGAAAAAUUAGAGUGUUUCAGGCAGGCUUUUGCCCGAAUACAUUAGCAUGGAAUAAUGGAAUCGGACUUUGGUCCAUUUGGUUGGUUAUUGGAUCUGAGUAAUGGUUAAUAGGGACAGUUGGGGGCAUUAGUAUUUAAUUGUCAGAGGUGAAAUUCUUGGAUUUAUUAAAGACUAACUUAUGCGAAAGCAUUUGCCAAGGAUGUUUUCAUUAAUCAAGAACGAAAGUUAGGGGAUCGAAGACGAUCAGAUACCAU